rnacentral:rRNA from 1 species
AGGAGUGAACGACGUGGCGGCGGUGCCUAACACAUGCAAGUCGAACGGAGAUAUUGCUUGGAAGCUUUCGAGGUGAAAGAGAAGUAUCUUAGUGGCGGACGGGUGGAGUAACGCGUGGGCGAACCUGCCUCAUACAGGGGGAUAGCAUCGGGAAACUAGGUGGUAAAACCGCAUAAGCGCACGAAGACGCAUGUAUUCGUGUGAAAAGGAGAAAUCUGGUAUGAGAUGGACCCGCGUCUGAUUAGCUAGUUGGAAGUGGUAAAAGCACACCAAGGCGACGAUCAGUAGCCGGCCUGAGAGGGUGGACGGCCACAUUGGGACUGAGACACGGCCCAGACUCCUACGGGAGGCAGCAGCGGGGAAUAUUGCACAAUGGAGGGAACUCUGAUGCAGCGACGCCGCGUGAGUGAAGAAGUAAUUCGUUAUGUAAAGCUCUAUCAGCAGGGAAGAAAGUGACGGUACCUGAAAAAGAAGCUCCGGCUAAAUACGUG